UGCCCACACCCCCCGUGACUCACAGAGGACCCUGCGCACACCGCUCAGGACUCACAGAGGACCCUGCACACACCACAUGAGACUCACAGAGGACCCUGCCCACACCGCGCGUAGGCCUGAAGAGAAUAUACUACCUUAUGCCAGCUGCGCCCCACAAAGCAGAUACAAUAAACAGACAGCGUGUCUUUAGAAUGAUCGCCUGACUCCCAACUCUCUCCACAGCAGCAAGAAAAGCCAGCAAGCCUCGAGGGACGAAGAGGGAGUCUCGCUGACGUGGAAACAGGGAGUGUGUUUGUGGAUCUCGGCCACGGCUGGGGGUCUCCAGCGUUAGAAGACGUCUGCCUAGUGUGGCAGUGGCGUUGAGCCUGUGCCUUAUUCAGAAACCACCCUUCGUGGAUUUUCCUGAGGUUGGAAGCCGAGGCCCCCCAGCCUGACCUCCUGACCCGGAGCACGAGGGAGCCGAGGGCCCCCCGGGAAGGCUCCUGCCACACAGAGAGAGCCCGGAUCUUGCAGGGAGCUAAACGCCAGUCUACACAGGAAGCAGAAAAGACAAGAAAACACCACAAAGAUCCAUCAGCAAUUUCCAGAAUGGAGAAGAAUAACCAGGAACCAAGUGUCUUCAACAGAAACCUCUUUUAAAGGGGUGGGAAGGCCCUGCGGAUGAAGGGACAUGCCCCCCCCCACGCUCCGUAGGGGACAAGUUCGCAGUCCCGCACAAGCGCAUCCAGCACAGAGGCCCGUCGAACGCCAGGGGCAGCAGACGCGGGCCGCCGUUGGUGACACCGGGACAGCACCGCUGAGUGCUGUGGACGCAGUGACAGAUCGUGGUGGUGGCAGAAAGGACGGAUUUACGGGCAGGGAAGGGUCCACCAGCGUCCAUGUGUUCUGUGCUCCCUGUCAACGCGCAGGACGCCCUGGGGUCCCCUGGCCGCCCGACACCAGGAAGGAAGGAGAUCCGCCCAGCAGACACCGGCCCCCCCCACACGGCCCUUCCCCCGCAGCGACGGGAAGUCAAGGCUGCCGAUGUGGGGGCACCGGCGACACCCAGACAGAGGACAGGACUGCCUUAGCCGGGCGCCCGAGGGCCUGAUGGCCCCAGACAGGCGGCCCACAGAGCCCGGCAAGGGUGAGCGCUCCAGGGGACAGAGGGCAGGGACAAGGGGGAGGAAAACGGAGAGCAGGAAGGUCAAGAUGGAAAGCGCGGCGCCGUGACAAAUAUAUUUUAAUGAGUUCA